rnacentral:rRNA from 1 species
UACGUAGGUGGCAAGCGUUGUCCGGAUUUAUUGGGUUUUAAAGGGUGCGUAGGCGGCCCUGUAAGUCAGUGCUGAAAUACCCCGGCUUUAACCGGGGGGUGGCAUUGAUACUGCAGGGCUUGAGUACAGAUGAGGUAGGCGGAAUUGACGGUGUAGCGGUGAAAUGCAUAGAUAUCGUCAAGAACACCGAUAGCGAAGGCAGCUUACUGGGCUGUAAACUGACGCUGAUGCACGAAA